UACGUAGGGAGCAAGCGUUGUCCGGAAUCAUUGGGCGUAAAGCGCGCGUAGGCGGCCCGAUAAGUCCGCUGUAAAAGUCAACGGCUCAACUGUUGAAAGCCGGUGGAUACUGUCGGGCUAGAGUACGGAAGAGGCAAGUGGAAUUCCUGGUGUAGCGGUGGAAUGCGCAGAUAUCAGGAGGAACACCUAUAGCGAAGGCAGCUUGCUGGGACGUUACUGACGCUAAGGCGCGAAAGCGUGGGGAGCGAACAGGAUUAGAUACCCUGGUAGUCCACGCCGUAAACGAUGAGAACUAGGUGUGGGAGGUGUCGACUCCUCCCGUGCCGUCGCUAACGCAUUAAGUUCUCCGCCUGGGGAGUACGGCCGCAAGGCUAAA
rnacentral:rRNA from 1 species